rnacentral:rRNA from 1 species
AUCGAUAAUNCACGUUAANUUUUACUUUAAUCAAAAAUUUGUAUACCGCCAUCUUAAGAAUCAAUUUAAAAAUAUCUCUCUAAAUAAAUUAUAAAAAGUUAGGUCAAGGUGUAAUCCAUAUUAAAGAAUAAGAUGAAUUACAUUAAAUAACAUUUAAAGAUUAUAUAUAAAUAUAUAAAUAUAAAUAAGGAUUUAAAAGUAAUUUAUAAAUAAUAAUAAUAUAUGAUAAAGAUAAUAAAUGUGCACACAUCGCCC